ensembl:misc_RNA Y_RNA Y RNA
AACUGGUCUGACUGAAGUGGUGUUUACAACUAAUUGAUCACAACCAGUUACAGGUUUCUUUGUUUCUUCUCCACUCCCACUGCUUCAUUGACUGGCCUAAA